CACGCCGUAAACGAUGGAUACUAGCUGUUCGGAGCAAUCUGAGUGGCUAAGCGAAAGUGAUAAGUAUCCCACCUGGGGAGUACGCACGCAAGUGUGAAACUCAAAGGAAUUGACGGGGGCCCGCACAAGCGGUGGAGCAUGUGGUUUAAUUCGAUGAUACGCGAGGAACCUUACCAAGGCUUAAAUGUAGAUUGACAGGUUUGGAAACAGACUUUUCUUCGGACAAUUUACAAGGUGC
rnacentral:rRNA from 1 species